AUAUAUAUAGUUUCUAAUGCCACUCCUAGUGGCUCUGCUUCUUGAAUUAAACCCUGACCCAUGCACUCCCUAAGUUGGGACCAUUUACUAGGGGAUCACCCAGUCUCUUAUUUACAAACUUAACUCUACACCAGGCUCUAAGGAUCUACCCUAACCAAAGGCCAGAAGCAAAUCAAUGGUUGUAGCUGGUACUCUGAGACUCUUCCUGAGGUCACUCUUGCUGCUGGGCCAGCCCUGAGCUCUGGUUCCUGGGUCACCUACCCACCCUUGUGUUUAAGGAAAUGGGGGCUAGUGAUUGGCAGUACAAGAGGAUCAUAUGAAGUGCAGGGGAAGCAGAUGCCGCAUGGACAAAGGUGAGAUGUUCACCACAUGCCUUCCAGCCUAGUUGGUCCCCGGUACCAUCAGCUCAAUCCAGUUCACUUUUCCUCAAUUAUUUCUAUCCCAUCACAGGAGGCCUAGCAAAUUCCCAAUGAUAGCCCUUCACAUUGCUGUUUUGUGGACCAUGUUUGCUACAUUCUCAAGGUAUGAAUUUACUCUGCCUCUUGGAAUAGUGUAGAACAAGUCGAUUUCUCUCCUAUACAACAUUCCUUUCAAGAGUUUAAAACAAGCCUUGGGGGAUCCCUGGGUGCCUCAGCGGUUUAGCACCUGCCUUUGGCCCAGGGCACGAUCCCGGAGUCCCAGGAUCGAGUCCCGCGUCGGGCUCCCGGCAUGGAGCCCGCUUCUCCCUCUGCCUGUGUCUCUGCCUCUCUCUCCUCCCUCUAUGACUAUCAUGAAUAAAUAAUAAAAUAAAAAAUAAAUAAAACAAGCCUUAGUCUCUACUUGACCUCUUCUCUCCCCUCUACCUUGGAGCUAUCUCUUUUUCAGGCAAAACAUACUUCCCAGUUCCCUCAGCUGUUCUAUGGUUCACUGGAGUCAUCUUUUUGAGAGCAGGAACUGUGUCUUCAGGUCCAGCACGAAAUUAGCCAAAGUUGGAUUCUGCUACCUCUCCCUAGCUUCUCCAUGUAAAGCAAUUAGUAAAAAAAAGUAUACCUUGAAGAGUGAGAAAAGCUUAUUACUGCUGCUUCUAAGUGCUAAACAUGGCACGGGACUCUCUUCAAGUCAAGGACUCCACAGAUACUGAUAAAGUACUUAAUUUCCUCUUAUGAUUGUCAAACAGCUUCCUGGGGA
rnacentral:lncRNA from 1 species